rnacentral:rRNA from 1 species
CUGCCUUGUAGCGGGGGAUAACUAUUGGAAACGAUAGCUAAUACCGCUUAUGGAUGGACCCGCGGCGUAUUAGCUAGUUGGUGAGGUAAUGGCUCACCAAGGCGAUUAUACGUAGCCGACCUGAGAGGGUGAUCGGCCACACUGGGACUGAGACACGGCCCAGACUCCUGGGAGGCAGCAGUAGGGAAUCUUCCGCAAUGGACGAAAGUCUGACGGAGCAAUGCCGCGUGAGUGAAGAAGGUUUUCGGAUCGUAAAACUCUGUUGUUAGAGAAGAACAAGGAUGAGAGUAACUGCUCAUCCCCUGACGGUAUCUAACCAGAAAGCCACGGCUAACUACGUGCCAGCAGCCGCGGUAAUACGUAGGUGGCAAGCGUUGUCCGGAUUUAUUGGGCGUAAAGCGAGCGCAGGCGGUUCUUUAAGUCUGAUGUGAAAGCCCCCGGCUCAACCGGGGAGGGUCAUUGGAAACUGGAGAACCUGAGUGCAGAAGAGGAGAGUGGAAUUCCACGUGUAGCG